CUAACGUCGACAGUGAGGAAAUAAAUAGGGCGACUCCAGCCCCAACUGCCUCCCUCCUCACAUGCGCCCAACGGACUCGCCAAGAUUGCCCAACCAAAGAGCGACAGUUGGACAGUUUGCAGAGUAUCUCUUCCUGGGUCACCUCCCAAAGGAUGGGAAUGCUUGGCUUUACUCCCAGGAAAACCGCCAUCUGGCAAAGUCAACAGACAGAAAAGAAGCAGAAUGAAGCAGCAUCUGCUGACUUUCCGAGAUAAUACAGAUUUCCAGCCUGGCAGGAUUCUGAAGGCGGGGCCAACGUCCAAGGCCAACUGAGAUGCCUUCAGCUGAGAUAAGAGAACUCUGUUCUGGGAGCCCAGGGCCCGGGCUCUCACAGUGCGGCUGGCUCACCCCGUGUCCGGAUAGAUUUUCUGACCUCUGAAGAAGGGAACAUCGGGGCACCUGAGUGGCUCAGUCGGUUGAGCCUCCGACUUUGCCCCAGGUCAUGAUCUCACAGCUUGUGAGUUCGAGCCCCACGUCGGGCUCUGUGCUGACAGCUCAGAGCCUGGAGCCUGCUUCUGCUUCUGUGGCUCCCUCUCUCUCUGCCCCUAACCCACUCACAUUCUGUCUCUGUCUCUCUCAAA